CAUAGGUUAAUGAGGCGAACCGGGGGAACUGAAACAUCUAAGUACCCCGAGGAAAAGAAAUCAACCGAGAUUCCCCCAGUAGCGGCGAGCGAACGGGGAGGAGCCCAGAGCCUGAAUCAGUGUGUGUGUUAGUGGAAGCGUCUGGAAAGGCGUGCGAUACAGGGUGACAGCCCCGUACACAAAAAUGCACAUACUGUGAGCUCGAUGAGUAGGGCGGGACACGUGGUAUCCUGUCUGAAUAUGGGGGGACCAUCCUCCAAGGCUAAAUACUCCUGACUGACCGAUAGUGAACCAGUACCGUGAGGGAAAGGCGAAAAGAACCCCGGCGAGGGGAGUGAAAAAGAACCUGAAACCGUGUACGUACAAGCAGUGGGAGCCUCUUAAUGGGGUGACUGCGUACCUUUUGUAUAAUGGGUCAGCGACUUAUAUUCUGUAGCAAGGUUAACCGAAUAGGGGAGCCGAAGGGAAACCGAGUCUUAACUGGGCGUUAAGUUGCAGGGUAUAGACCCGAAACCCGGUGAUCUAGCCAUGGGCAGGUUGAAGGUUGGGUAACACUAACUGGAGGACCGAACCGACUAAUGUUGAAAAAUUAGCGGAUGACUUGUGGCUGGGGGUGAAAGGCCAAUCAAACCGGGAGAUAGCUGGUUCUCCCCGAAAGCUAUUUAGGUAGCGCCUCGUGAAUUCAUCUCCGGGGGUAGAGCACUGUUUCGGCAAGGGGGUCAUCCCGACUUACCAACCCGAUGCAAACUGCGAAUACCGGAGAAUGUUAUCACGGGAGACACACGGCGGGUGCUAACGUCCGUCGUGAAGAGGGAAACAACCCAGACCGCCAGCUAAGGUCCCAAAGUCAUGGUUAAGUGGGAAACGAUGUGGGAAGGCCCAGACAGCCAGGAUGUUGGCUUAGAAGCAGCCAUCAUUUAAAGAAAGCGUAAUAGCUCACUGGUCGAGUCGGCCUGCGCGGAAGAUGUAACGGGGCUAAACCAUGCACCGAAGCUGCGGCAGCGACACUAUGUGUUGUUGGGUAGGGGAGCGUUCUGUAAGCCUGCGAAGGUGUACUGUGAGGUAUGCUGGAGGUAUCAGAAGUGCGAAUGCUGACAUAAGUAACGAUAAAGCGGGUGAAAAGCCCGCUCGCCGGAAGACCAAGGGUUCCUGUCCAACGUUAAUCGGGGCAGGGUGAGUCGACCCCUAAGGCGAGGCCGAAAGGCGUAGUCGAUGGGAAACAGGUUAAUAUUCCUGUACUUGGUGUUACUGCGAAGGGGGGACGGAGAAGGCUAUGUUGGCCGGGCGACGGUUGUCCCGGUUUAAGCGUGUAGGCUGGUUUUCCAGGCAAAUCCGGAAAAUCAAGGCUGAGGCGUGAUGACGAGGCACUACGGUGCUGAAGCAACAAAUGCCCUGCUUCCAGGAAAAGCCUCUAAGCAUCAGGUAACAUCAAAUCGUACCCCAAACCGACACAGGUGGUCAGGUAGAGAAUACCAAGGCGCUUGAGAGAACUCGGGUGAAGGAACUAGGCAAAAUGGUGCCGUAACUUCGGGAGAAGGCACGCUGAUAUGUAGGUGAAGUCCCUCGCGGAUGGAGCUGAAAUCAGUCGAAGAUACCAGCUGGCUGCAACUGUUUAUUAAAAACACAGCACUGUGCAAACACGAAAGUGGACGUAUACGGUGUGACGCCUGCCCGGUGCCGGAAGGUUAAUUGAUGGGGUUAGCGGUAACGCGAAGCUCUUGAUCGAAGCCCCGGUAAACGGCGGCCGUAACUAUAACGGUCCUAAGGUAGCGAAAUUCCUUGUCGGGUAAGUUCCGACCUGCACGAAUGGCGUAAUGAUGGCCAGGCUGUCUCCACCCGAGACUCAGUGAAAUUGAACUCGCUGUGAAGAUGCAGUGUACCCGCGGCAAGACGGAAAGACCCCGUGAACCUUUACUAUAGCUUGACACUGAACAUUGAGCCUUGAUGUGUAGGAUAGGUGGGAGGCUUUGAAGUGUGGACGCCAGUCUGCAUGGAGCCGGCCUUGAAAUACCACCCUUUAAUGUUUGAUGUUCUAACGUUGGCCCCUUACCGGGGUUGCGGACAGUGUCUGGUGGGUAGUUUGACUGGGGCGGUCUCCUCCUAAAGAGUAACGGAGGAGCACGAAGGUUGGCUAAUCCUGGUCGGACAUCAGGAGGUUAGUGCAAUGGCAUAAGCCAGCUUGACUGCGAGCGUGACGGCGCGAGCAGGUGCGAAAGCAGGUCAUAGUGAUCCGGUGGUUCUGAAUGGAAGGGCCAUCGCUCAACGGAUAAAAGGUACUCCGGGGAUAACAGGCUGAUACCGCCCAAGAGUUCAUAUCGACGGCGGUGUUUGGCACCUCGAUGUCGGCUCAUCACAUCCUGGGGCUGAAGUAGGUCCCAAGGGUAUGGCUGUUCGCCAUUUAAAGUGGUACGCGAGCUGGGUUUAGAACGUCGUGAGACAGUUCGGUCCCUAUCUGCCGUGGGCGCUGGAGAACUGAGGGGGGCUGCUCCUAGUACGAGAGGACCGGAGUGGACGCAUCACUGGUGUUCGGGUUGUCAUGCCAAUGGCACUGCCCGGUAGCUAAAUGCGGAAGAGAUAAGUGCUGAAAGCAUCUAAGCACGAAACUUGCCCCGAGAUGAGUUCUCCCUGACCCUUUAAGGGUCCUGAAGGAACGUUGAAGACGACGACGUUGAUAGGCCGGGUGUGUAAGCGCAGCGAUGCGUUGAGCUAACCGGUACUAAUGAACCGUGAGGCUUAACCUUACAA
rnacentral:rRNA from 1 species